rnacentral:lncRNA from 1 species
UGAUGUAUUUCUACCUUUGCUUCUGAAAGCAAGCAAUGACGACAACCCGACAGUUAGACAGGUUUGGAUCAUAGUGAUUGUUUACAUUCCUGUUACUCAAGUUGGUUGCUCACAAUGACUUUAUGUUCAGAAAGCUUUAUAUGGACUUGGGCUUUAUGCAGAAUAUGAUGGUUCUGUUUUCCAACCUUAUGUUAGAGGUAUUAAUAUUGUUGAAUGUGAUACCUUCUAAUCAAGCAAGUGUUUUUGUUAACUUACGCGUUUAUGUUCAGAGGCUAUGUCACGGAUCAAUGUAGUGAUAAUGCAUUUACGUGCUCGUGAACCUGAGAAUGAACUUGCAUAUGAUAAUGCUGUUUCUACCCUUGGUAAAAUAUUUCAGUUUCAUCGAGAACUUAUCGACUCAGCCCAGGUUUGUCCUUCUCAGAAUCCCUAAUGUUAAGUCUUGUUAUAAUUUCUGAUUCUGAAUCCUUGUGUAGGUCAUUCCCAUUUGGUUGAAUUGCCUGCCUAUAAAAGGUGACCUUGCUGAAGCCAAAUAUGUUCAUGGUCAACUAUGUUCCAUGGUUGAAAGGUAUUGGAUUUGUUUGGAAACUCUAAUAUGUUAUAACUUUCAUAAAAUGCAGGAUUAUUUUAUCCAACGUUUUGUUGGAAAUAUUAUAUUAUCAUAAGACUAUUUAUUCCACCAUUUAUACCUUAAAAUGUGAUAAGUUAUUUCAUCCCGAAAUAGUUGAUGUCAGGAUAACUUAUUCCGAACCAAACCAUCCCUUAAUGAUUUAUCAAAUUUUCUCAAUUGCAGGUCAGAUAGAGAACUUUUGGGUACCAAUUAUGAACACUUCCCAAAAAUUAUGUCAGUUUUUGCAGAGGUUAGUUCCAUAUCAGAAUCUAUAGAUGCCAGUUUGAGUUGUUUAUUUGCUCAUGUUACAUAUUAAAUGAGAUAAAUAUUGAAAACAUAAUUAUUAAUUUCAUAAUCAAACUAUUAACAAUCUUAAAAACACUCAUUUCUUUGACUAACUAAACUUAAAUACACUCCCGAUCUUGCAACAUGACCAAAAUACAUCCCUAAUUUAAGGGUGCUUUCAACACUCCUCUAUGUAAUGUGGCAGAUCAGAGAUGUAUUUAAGUUUAAUCUGGUCAAGUAGAUAUGUGUUUUUAAGACUAUCAAUAAUUCAAGAACGAAACGAACAAUUUGUGUCAAGUUUAAGAGUGUUUUUGAAUCAAACUAAAGACAUUUUUUAUUCCAUUUUUAAGGUUAUAUGUGGUGGAAAACAUCUUGCUACAGAAGAAACAACAAAGUGUAUGAUUAAUCUGUUGAGGAAUCUUCUUAAAGAACUACCACCAGACACUUUGACAUCAGCAUGGUCAUUGAUAUUGCCUCAGCAAGAAAUGGAACUAAAAGCCAUUUUAUUUCCUGGAAUACUUCAUGUGGUACGUUUUCACAACAAAACAUUUUGUAUGCUUGACACUGAUACCAAUGAAAGCUCUCCCCCUUACUCUUUACCAUCCAAAAUUGUCAAACUUCUUGAGGAAGAACACCAGAAAAAUAGUAUUAUUGUUCCACAAAUGUAACUUAUAAACCAUAAAUUGUAUCUUUAAUUAAGUUUUGUAUCAUUUAAGUAUACAAGAUGAUACUAUAGUUGAUUUGUGGGGAAUUGAAUAUGUAAUUAUCAUUAAACUAUCUAUUUUAUAUCUUUUUUACGAUUUAUCUAUCCAUUUGGAAUUUCUUUAUUUUUAAUUUUUCAUAAGUUGAAAUUCAUAUUGUGGCAUAUAAUUUAAAUAAUUAUUUAUUCAAAUUAAACAAGUCAAACCUUAAGGACCUAAAAUCUAAACCUGACGGCAUAAACCAUAAACCUUGAGGGGUCGUUUGGUGUGAAAGAUAACUUUAAAUAGUCCUGCGAUUAAAUUAUAAUGUCACUAAAUUUGUUGUUUGAUUGGCAAUUUGGUGAUAAGUUAUCUCGUGAUUAAUAAUUAAUACAAGGAUAAAUUAUCCCUUCCCUUGGGUGGUACAAUAAUCCCGAGAAAACUUAUCACGAGAUAAAAUGACUAAAUGACAAAAAUAUCCCUUCAAACACUUUUUAUACAUUACUUUUCAUAUUCAUGAACGGUAUUUUUCUAAGCAUCAUAACUUGAAUUCAAACCAAACGACUGCACCUUAGAGCCCAAAAAAUAAACUCAAAAUCAUAAACUCUAAACCUUAAACCUUAGGCCUCAACCUUAAAAUCUAAACCAUAAACCCAAAACUCAAAAGCUUGGGGCCUAAAACCUAAGAUCUACGAUUUAUGGUUUAGGAUUUAGGAUUUAGACUCUAAAAUUUAUAUUCUAGGGGUUGUAGUUUAUCGUUUUGACUAUAAGAUUUAGGAUUUAAGAUUUAUAAUUUUAAGAGUUUAGGCCUUAUGGUUAAGUGUUUAGAGAUAAGAUUUAUAAUUCAUGUAUAAAUUAAAAUAUAGGGUUUAGGCCCAAGGUUCAUAUGGUUUUAUGAUUUAUCAAAAGCCAAUUUGAGGUCAAUUUUUAAGCACAAUUGAACCAAACCCAUUUGAACCCAAAAUAAAUUUGAACGGAUUGAUCAACUUCGUGUAUUUUUUUCUACACUUUUGACUCUUCAUCACCUUUCUACAAUUACAAUUGUUUCACAAAUCCUUUUUUUAAAAUCUUUCAAACAUAAUUAUAAAAAAUAUCUUAGUAAAUCCAUUCUAUUUCCUAAUCCCUUUCAUAAAACAAAUAAUCAAAAUAGCCUCAGAAGGAAGGCAGUAGUAUAGUCAUAAUCAUUAUUUUGACCAUUAACGCAAAACUACUCAUCAUCGGACAAAAAAAUAAUAAAUUAAAAGAAACAAAAAACAAUUAUUAUUGUAAUGCUUGAAAGUUUUGCAAUUUUCCUAAUUCAAAAUUAUUGACUAUCGAUUUUGAUAAUGUAUUUCCCAAAAUUGUUGUGUGAAAUACACGAGUAAAAUACAUCUGAACUCAAAAUUCAAAAUACAUUUCAAAACUCAAAAUUAAGAGUCAAAUUUGUGCAUAAAAUUUAGGACUUGAAAUCUAAACUCAAAAUUUGAAACCAUAUACCUUAGGGCAUAGAUCCUAAACCUUAAGAGCCUAAACUUUAAACAUUAUGUCCAAAAUUAUGAACCCUAAAUCUUGAACCUUAAAUCCCAAGUCAUAAACCCUAAAAUCUUAGAACUUAAACCCAAAACUCUAAACCUUAAAGCCUAAACCUUAAACCUUAAACCUUAAACCUUGAAAGCCUAAAUCUUAAUGUUUAGGAUUUAUGAUUUAUGGUUUUUGAUUUUAAAAUUUAAGAUUUAGAGUUCAGACAAUAUGGUUAAGAGUUUUAAGUUUUAUGAUAUAAGAUUUAGGCCUUAAAAUUUGAAGUUUAGAUUUUAACAAUUAGGCUCUAAAAACUUUAAGAUUAAAAAUACAGCAUUUGAACAUUAUAAUAAAUAAUUAUGUAGUACCCCAACGACCAAAUACACCACAAAAAUUAGAUGCAAAGGAUAGCGAGGGGAACAUUAUUAUAGCUUCACUUGCUAAAGUAUCACACUACAAAAAGUGAAAUCCACAAAAUAUAAUUAGCAAAAGCAUAGUACAAUUAACAACAUAUCCAAUAAAAUCACAGUAAAUUUAUGCAAAUCUUAUCAUUAUCUCGUAAAAAUAAAAAUAAAAUAUGAAAACUACUUAGUCCCUUAGAUGUUCAAUUAAUUGCGAUCAUCUUCGCAAAUCAUUACAGGUCUGUAACUGUAAAAAAUUAAUCAUCACUGUUGUUUCCAUUGAAUAAAAUAUAUAAAAAAAAUUUUGAUGAACAAACUCAGUCCCUUAGAUGUUCAAUUUGUUGCGAUCAUUUUCGCAUAUCAUUACAGGUCUGUAACUGUAAAAUAUUACUCAUCAUUGUUUAUUCAUCAAAAAAAUAUUCUGAAUUUUUUUUUUUUUAAAAAAAAGUUGUAGCUGCUCCAAUUGUUCUCCACAGAUUAAAUUAAAUGAGGAGAAAGAUGAAAAAGGAACAACACACUUAUAAUGCUUCAAGGGAACGAGUUGGUCAAAAAUAAAUUAUUUCUUGCCAACCAGAUUAAAGAAGCAUAUAACUCAAAAUAUAUACACAAAAAUAAUAAAUUUAUUUAGAGUUUAGAAGAUAUAUCACCAUUGUUGAAGAUUUCAAUCGGCAGCUGCAGAAGAGAGAAAUUGUUGUGUUUUGAAGUACACGCAAAACUCAAAAACAAGAAAAUUAUCCAUCUAGCUGGAUAUGAUUAUUAUGCAUAAUGAAUAAAGGAAACAGCUUAAGAGAAAAACUGGUCCGUUAGAUCUCCUCUUUCAAUCGCAAUCUUCUAUUUCUGCACAGCAAAGAAACACUUCUCAAAUAUAUUUUACGAAAGAUUUAACAGGUAAAAGUGUACAAGCUCAAAAUAUGAUGCAAUUAAUCUUGAGUCAGUUACCUGUUAAACCAGUGUUGCCGCUUUUUAUAUGCAAGGGGUAAAUAAGGACCUUGGGCUCUGCAUUUCCAUAUCCUUCUUGCACUUCUUUAAAGUCCUUAACUGAUUUUUCAAGAGACUCACCACAUCGUUUUACUUCAACCAUCUUUAGAUAAUGCAUAUGUCCAACCAUGGAAGGAAUUUCUCGAAGAUUAAAGCAGUUUUCUAUAAGAAUGUGUUCGAGGUUGGGAAAGGACUCAUCUGAUGCAUUCCAUGUUGUUAUUGUAAGGGAUCUUAAUUUAAGAACCUUGAGGUUCAGAAACUCUUCAUCUUCGAUCUCCCAUUUGUCCUGCUGAAAUACUCUAUGUUCCAACUUCAGAACCACUAAAUUUGGUAAUCUUCCGAUAUUAGACAGUUCACUUUGUGGCAACAAAACAUCUGAUAGAGUUAGCUUUGUUAGUGUCGCGGGCAAGGUGAAAUUCAAAAUCAUACCGUUUACACUGAGUGUUUCAAGUUGAAGAGCAUUUAAUUUGAGUUUGAGAGGCUCUUUACAGUGGCAUUUGAGUUUUCGCAGUCUGCUUUCUGUUUUAUUUAAGAAAUACUCCCUCCGUCCCAUUUUAUAUGAUGUACUUUGAUACCGUUUACACUGAGUGUUUCAAGUUGAAGAGCAUUUAAUUUGAGUUUGAGAGGCUCUUUACAGUGGCAUUUGAGUUUUCGCAGUCUGCUUUUCUGUUUUAUUUAAGAAAUACUCCCUCCGUCCCAUUUUAUAUGAUGUACUUUGAUUUGGCACAAACUUUAAGAAAAAUGGAAAGACUUUUAAAACUUGUGGUCCAAAAUGAAUGAUAGAAAUUUGUGUGGUUGUAAAUCAUUUCAUUAAGGGUAAAAAAGACAUUUUAUAGGCAAAUUGUUACUUAAAAUAGAAAUGUGUCAUUCUUUUUGGGACUGACUAAAAAGGAAAGUAAGUCAUAUAAAUUGGGACAGAGGGAGUAUUAUUUAAGACUGGUUUAAGAGUCGCCACUUAAUUUUUAAGAAAAAUCAAGAAAAACUGAUUUUCAAUAGAUUAAAACAGUGAAUCAAUUGAAAAUACUAAAGGGGGUUCGGGGGUUCUUAUAAAUAUUCUAGGAAGGUUUUUAAGGCACCUAGAAUAUCCACUAAUGUGGUUAUCCGACGAUUAACUACUUGGCUAAAAUAAUUGAACUUAAUUUGAUUUGAGCAAUUUUUAUUGUUAGAACCAUAUUAAAGGGAAAUACUUAAAUAUUAUCUAAGUGAGCUAAUUUUUAAAACUUAUUCUUUAAGUCUUGUUGAGUGAUGACUGAUUCAGUUAAAUUGUUAAAUCAAAAUAGGCGUCUUUCGGGGAUUUGAAUUUUUCAACCUUAAGGUUAGCGACAAAUAUUAACAAGCACACAAAUAUAAUAAAAUAAAGAGGGAAAGAGAUUUGGGCCCAAGUUUGGUUUUACUGUCCGCCUGGACCAAUACUUGGGCCCACUUUCGUUUUGGGGUUUUCGGCCCAUUUAAAUAAUCGGUACCUGUCCUAGUCUAACAAGAUAAUAACAAGGGCUUAGGCCCCCAAAAUAACAAAAAUACAAUUCCCGAAACUAAGAGUGGGCCUUUGGGUCCAUUUUCCUUCUUUCGUAUACACUAGAUGUCUACUAGUGUACACAAUCCCAUAUGUCUGCUUCGAAGACCUGUACGCUGAAUUCAUGGAAUUGCUCUUCAAUUCUAUUGGCUGGCCGACUCAAUGAAGGAUUUGAGCAUUUAUGGCUCUCUCGAAGUGAGGGGGAAGGAGAUAGGAGUUCAUAGUGAACUCGGACAUAUUUCACAAGCAAAACGAUAAAUAAGUAACAAAAUUAGCAUCUUCGGGAAGGAAAUGAAGUGAUAAGAUAAAAUAAAUAGAUAAGUAAAAUAACAUGCCAGUCAAUCAUUAACAACACAACGCCUAAACAAUAAUUUAAAAGGAAGACUGAUGAAGACUUGUUCAUUUUUACGUAUCAUGAAUGAGGAGCAGUGAUCAAGUACCAAGCAUUAGAACAAAGGUCAUAUGAGAUGUAAACUAAUAAGCUCUUAAUAAAGAUUAUUACUUAUUACAAGAUUAAAAUAACUACUAUGCAGGUUCAAAACAGAGAAGAAAGAAAUUUUAAUUAUAUAUAUAAUAUAAAAGAGAUAGUGAGCAAAUGUGGCAUCUACUAAAUGUGACUAUUGAAUGUUUAUCUCAAAGCACAAGAAUUGUUAGCUAAGCAAGCCUACAAUCAGUAGUUUAAGUAAAAGGAAAGAAACAUUCAAGUCACCUUUUGAACUUUUAAAAACAAUAUUAUAAACAAGUUAAGGUAGGUAGGAUUUAGUCAAAAUAUUAUUUUUUACAUAAGUGAGCUUUCUAAACAAAUAUAACAAUAAAAAAAAAAUUAGUCAAUGACUCAAAUUUUGCACAAGGGUAUAGCCUAAUACCGACAUUAUUUGGACAACUUUCUUAUUACUGAUUCUAACAUUUACGACACCGAAUUAAGCUAUGUAGAGAAGAAAAAAGGCCGGUGAUCACCAAAGCAAGUAAAAAUAUAUAGCAUCCUUAGCAACUGUUGAGACAUGCUGAAAUUAAAGAAGAAUAAAAGCCAAAAGUAUGGAUGUACAUUCACAGUUUUAUGUAUUCCCAAACUUAUCGAAAUUUGUUAAAAAUAUACAUGAGGCUCACGGAGAUAUCAAAUAGCAAAGUGGGCUGAUCCAUUUAUCCUAAAUGAGUAAACAUACAAAAUGAAUGAACAAAUACGGACUAUGACAUAUUUUACGCAUCCCGUAACCAAGAAAAAGUAGCACGAACUUACUUAAGGCAUGUCAAACUAAUCAAGAUCAAAAUUGUAUACCAUUUGGAACCAAACAACAAAAACAAUUCCCAUAAUUCUGGAAAAAUAAAAAAAAACACAUUCAAACUAGACCUGGACAACAUCUAAAUAAUUAGAGACAAAAUCAGAUAAACAAAAAUGAAAGAAUUAAUCAUACCACAAGACAACCAUAACAAAGUUUAAGCUAUACUAAUCCGGACAAGACUAUUGAUCUAAACUCAAAAAUAAGUGCAGGAAGAGCUAGAUCCUACAAGACUGGUCUAAUGUAAUUUAUGAGGGUCUAUAACAGUGAAUAAAAAAUAAAGAGAAGACAACCAAGACCACAAAUGACCAAUAGAGAAGCAGAACGAGUCAAAAAUUAAGCUACAAAGGGAAUAAUUUAAAGACUCAUAUUUAAACUAACACAUGCUUCCAUACAUGAGUAAUUUAAUCAAAAUAAGUUAGAACAAAAUGAAACCAAAGAAACUCCGCAGCAACAAGUUUAUCACACAACAUUUAAAACAUAAACAAAGCGCGGAAGAGGGAAGAGAUAUUACCUUUUCCGGGCAGCGAAACUGAGACAAGAACGAGCUUGGAGCGACUUCAACACAACCUUGAACUCGAGCACCAGACCAAAGAAAAGAUCGAGUCGACCUCGAACGAGAACUUCUCGUAUCCUUAAGACUAGGGAACCGUCUAAGACUUCUCAAGUGUAAAUUUAUUCCAAGAAAUCCAACCCCCAAAUCCCUUCCUUUUUUUUUUUUUUUAACAUAUGAAAAAAGAGCCACCUUUAUAGGUAAAAACUCCAGCAGAAAAUGGGGGGAAACGGAUGAAAAAAACGGGCAGAGAUCCCCCAUCCCCAAUUCAAACUUCAAAAUUUAUUCACAAACUUAGAGAGACAACAUUUUUUCAAAAUUUCGCCCCAUUCCCAAAGAGGAAAAAGGGAGAAACGCGUGCUGCUGCGACAUUAAUGUGGAUAGGGACGUCUGAAGAAGAAGCCAAAUCUGUAGUGUACGUCUCUCUGCUCCUCGCUACUUUUCGUCUGAUCGCUCUGUAUUUUUUGUUAUGAACGUUGGGGCUGCUGGGUUUGUAUUGUGAAGGAAAAGGGGAGGUGGGCCGGGUUAAAGGGGGGAAUUGUGGGUUGAGGCGGUAGGGUGAGAAAUAAAAGAAAGGAAAAGGGAAUUGGGGAAAUUACGGUCGGUCAGGUAUUGUUGUUGUUGUCAAGUUGUAUUGUAUGUAGUGUUACAUGUGGGUGGGUUUUGGUAUUAAAUUUGGGCUGGGAAUUAUGGAAUUGCUGAUGGGUUUAAAGAAGGGAUGGAUUGUUGGUAUUAUAUUCUGGGAAUGGGUAUUUGGAAUCAGAUAAAUACAAUGGGUUAUGGGAGUUGGCAAAAUGGCCUGAUUUGGUCUAAAAGAAAAGAGUUCUAUCGGAUUUAACAAUUAGCCAACUUUGAUAAACUAGUGAAUUCGACUAAAAAUUAAAUAAGACGAAUUAAUAUAAUUAACUAACGAGCUUCUUAAUCUUAACGAAAUAAAAUAAUCAACUUAAUUAUUAGUCAAUUUGAAUAACUCAAAAUUAUGACUAUAAAUACUACCAAACUAUAUUAAUAAAAUAUUCAUUUUAACAAAGUAGAAAUCUUUUGAAUAUGAUUUUUAAAUAUUAUAAAAUGUACUAAUCAUAUAUGUAAUUAUAUGAAAUAUAUUUAUCAUUCAAAAUGCUAUAAAAGUCGAUUGAAAUUAUUCAACUAACCUUGAAAUUAUUUAAAUUUUGUAAAGCUAAUUAUUCUAAAUCAUUUAGAAUUUAAGAAGCUCGAUGAUUAAUUUAUAUUGUGGAGGUCCAAAAAUUGGGUGUCAACACUUGCCUUCUUGACCAUGUAGUCUACUAGCUCAUUAGUGAGAGACACUGUGGCCAAGGUCUCGAUGCAACAUAUGUUUGUCGAUGUCUGAGGAAUGCGUCCAUCAAAAGAUGCAACAGGUUCAACAUGUACAUGCUUUAGCCUUGGCAUAUUCCAGAUGGUCAUCGGUAAAAUUGUGCCACUGCCUACUGUUAUUACAAGCAAUACCUCUAGGUUUGAAAGGUUCGAUAUCCAUAAUGGCAUAGAUACCAUAUAGCCUUUGAUUCCUAAGUACUUCAAAUGGAUCAGCUCUUUUGAUCUCUGGAAUGAACUCUCCGACAUAGUACAUUCCAUUUGUAGUACUCUUAAUAGUUUAAAGUUCUCAAGAUCAAGAAAUUCCUGGCAGCCAGAUUUCGGGGGUCUGAAGAAUGCAGAUCGAACUUGCAUGUUUCCAAUCUUCCCUGCCCAAUAAAGGCUAUGAUGAAUGCAAAGCCUCCGGUGCUCAUAAAAGGAACUAGACAAAUCAGUCUUCCCGGUGCUUGUUAGUUGCAUAAACUUCUCUUCCUUAGACUUUGUCACGCAAAAAUCAUGUAACAUAUCAUGAAUGCGGCAUGUUCUGACUCCUCCAGUGGACUUUCUCUUGCUCACCAUUAUCAAGCUUCUACCGAUGAGAUCAUUCAGUAAAAUUUUUGCAUCGAGCCCUAUGUUUGGCACCAAUCCCUCGAUAGUCCAUAACCAUGCCAAGUUUGAGAGUGGAAUUUCUUCAUCCUCCUGAAAUGAUGCAAAAUAUAGAAAGCAGGGUUUGAGAUGAUCUGGCAUGUGCUUGUAGCUCAGUUCUAUAACCUCCAUGCACUCUUUUGCACUAGUAACAGUAUCUAACUUUAUACUUUCUGCGAUUCUUCUCCAACUUUCCUCAUUUUCGCUUAUCCCAGACAAAACUCCAGCAACCAAAAUCACAAGGAGAGGUAGUCCUUUACACUUACUUGCGAUGUUUGCUCCUACUUUUGAUAGGUCAGGCGGGCAAGUUUGUUCCUUGAACAGCUUGAUUCUCAUUAGUUCCCAACUUUCAUUUUCGUCAAGGAAACGAAGGUGAAGAGGUGCUCUAUCAGGUUUAAUUUUUGAAGCCACAUCGCUGAGUCUGCUAGUUAAUAAAAUCCUGCUUCCGUUAUUAUCAUCCGGUAAGCAUCUUCUCAAGUAUUUCCAUGUCUCAACACUCCAUAUGUCAUCAAUGUAGAGAAGGUACUUCUUUCUUAACAGAAAUUUCCGCAAAGCAUCUUCUGGAUUUUUCUCAUUCUGUUGGUUAGAGCCUUUGACUUGAUUCAAAAUUCCGAGCGGCAACUUUCUUCUGUCAUAAGUUUGGGAAACACAACACAUAGCUUGGAUGUCAAAAUGACGCUGCAUUUUCUCAUCAUGAAAAACUUUCUUUGCUAGUGUAGUUUUUCCAAGACCAGGCAUCCCUACGAUAGACACAACAUCCAAGUUCUUUGGUCCUAUAGUGAGCUGUUCGAUUAGCAAGUCAGUCUCAUCCUUAAAACCCACCAUUACCUCAUCAAGUUGUGUAGUCUCAACUACUUGUCUGACAGGAUUUGGUGUUUGUUCUUCAAUAGGGCCUUCAACUUCUUGCGUAAUCGUAGCAUGGAACUCUUUCAAAUGAUCCCUUACAACCUUAGUUUCUGUUGUGAUCUUACAUAACAAAUGUAGAUACCAAACAGGAUAAUCUCCGGUAACCAGGCAAUCAAUUAUGCAUUCUGCCUGGUAUGCUAGAGAUAUGACUUCUGUCCAUAGAUCAUGUUUCUUCACCUCCUCAAACUCAUGUUUUUUCUUCUCAACUUCCUUCAAGAAGUAUCUUAAGAGAUAUAACUCUUCCCGAGCUUCUUCAAUAUGAUGCUUGACAACAGAAUCACACUUUCCGUCUUGCAGCAGCUCUUUNNNNNNNNNNNNNNNNNNNNNNNNNNNNNNNNNNNNNNNNNNNNNNNNNNNNNNNNNNNNNNNNNNNNNNNNNNNNNNNNNNNNNNNNNNNNNNNNNNNNNNNNNNNNNNNNNNNNNNNNNNNNNNNNNNNNNNNNNNNNNNNNNNNNNNNNNNNNNNNNNNNNNNNNNNNNNNNNNNNNNNNNNNNNNNNNNNNNNNNNNNNNNNNNNNNNNNNNNNNNNNNNNNNNNNNNNNNNNNNNNNNNNNNNNNNNNNNNNNNNNNNNNNNNNNNNNNNNNNNNNNNNNNNNNNNNNNNNNNNNNNNNNNNNNNNNNNNNNNNNNNNNNNNNNNNNNNNNNNNNNNNNNNNNNNNNNNNNNNNNNNNNNNNNNNNNNNNNNNNNNNNNNNNNNNNNNNNNNNNNNNNNNNNNNNNNNNNNNNNNNNNNNNNNNNNNNNNNNNNNNNNNNNNNNNNNNNNNNNNNNNNNNNNNNNNNNNNNNNNNNNNNNNNNNNNNNNNNNNNNNNNGCAUUUUCUCAUCAUGAAAAACUUUCUUUGCUAGUGUAGUUUUUCCAAGACCAGGCAUCCCUACGAUAGACACAACAUCCAAGUUCUUUGGUCCUAUAGUGAGCUGUUCGAUUAGCAAGUCAGUCUCAUCCUUAAAACCCACCAUUACCUCAUCAAGUUGUGUAGUCUCAACUACUUGUCUGACAGGAUUUGGUGUUUGUUCUUCAAUAGGGCCUUCAACUUCUUGCGUAAUCGUAGCAUGGAACUCUUUCAAAUGAUCCCUUACAACCUUAGUUUCUGUUGUGAUCUUACAUAACAAAUGUAGAUACCAAACAGGAUAAUCUCCGGUAACCAGGCAAUCAAUUAUGCAUUCUGCCUGGUAUGCUAGAGAUAUGACUUCUGUCCAUAGAUCAUGUUUCUUCACCUCCUCAAACUCAUGUUUUUUCUUCUCAACUUCCUUCAAGAAGUAUCUUAAGAGAUAUAACUCUUCCCGAGCUUCUUCAAUAUGAUGCUUGACAACAGAAUCACACUUUCCGUCUUGCAGCAGCUCUUUUAGAUAGCGUAAGAGGGAAUCGAUGAACCCCAAUCCAUUUGUCCUAGGAAAAUUACAUUUUGAUGACACUACAUCUUUCAAAAUCACAUCUUUUAGAUCUUCCAUGACAUGCUCAAUCUUUUUUAACAAGUCACUGAAUACCGAGUUAACUUCUGCUGCUUUGUCAACGGAGAAAGAGAAAGCAGCAGAUACUACCUCAGCAAUCAGACCUUCAAUGCAAGUAAGUUUGUCACUCAUUUUUUCCUGGAUAACAUAUAAAUCUUCAGGUGGAGAAAUGAGCAAAGUUAUCAAUUGCUUUGAUGCUUCGGCAAGGCUUUUGAUUUGAUCCUUUUUAAGAGGAAGCAUCAAAGAACAUGCCUCACCGUCUGAUAACUCCAACAAAUCCUUGAAGAUGAAAUGAACAAAACCUUCAACAAAUUCUAUCACAUCCCGGCUGUAUUGGAUUUGCAAUUUAACUGAACCUCUUAGAGCUCCAGUAUAGAUUUCUGCAACGUCCGGAUCAAUGGGCUUGAUAUCUUUCAAAACAUGAGAGAUUUGUAGUGUCAACACAGAUGCUGAAUCUCCAUCCAUUUCUUCCACAUAACAAAGGUAACAUAUGUAUGCAGCAUUCACUGUGAUGCCCUCUAUAUGAUUAAAAAGAAUGUUGGAUUUCUCUAGCUCCAUGCUUGCAUCUUUUAUGAAAUUGAGGAAGGUUUUUAGAUAUUUUAGACUUUCUUCAAGGACUUGAAACUCUUUCUUCAGAAGUACAAACUUGUCGAAAUCUUUCUUGUUGAUGAGAAGAUCCUUCACAUUCUGAAGGAUGUGCUCAAUGAAUUUCUGAAACACUGGGCUGCAUAAAUUUGGUAAAGGCCACCUCCCUGGAACCAAUGAAAGGAGAAACUCAUAACCUUCUUUGACUUCAGCAGAAGAUAAGUCUGCCCUUGGUCCCGAGACAGUGUCACCGACUUGCAUUCCAUGUCCGCGCAAUCUCCCCUCCUUAAUCCUUCCUUUUUGAGUUGCCCAAAACAAAAAAGUACCAAGAAAUCUCCUCUCUAUUUCAGACAUUUGUUUUCCAGCAGAAUUUCCUCAGAGUGGAUAUAUGUCGACAGCUCUGCAAGCAAAGAGAUUAAAAGCAAAUCACAUUCUAGGACAAACAAGAAAUUAACACAAAAUUCCUUUAUAUGUUGAUUGCACUCUUCCUCUUGUAUCAGAACAUUAUGCUUGAUUGUAACUAACAAACAGAUAAUAUUUAAGAAAAAGAUGUGUGUGAUCACAAAUAACAAAAACUGUUUGGUUGCACUAAAUGUUUUCUGGAAAAUGUGAAGUUAUAUCUGAAAGUCACAAUGCAUACUCUUAACUCUACACAACUAGGGGAAUGGGGAAAAAAGUCACCAGGAAAAACAAUAACAGAAAAAGAACUGGUUCCAAAGAGUUCUGAUUGUCUACUACUUACUUUUGCCUAAACUAGUUACCCUUUGUUAAUCCAAGCAAGUGAAAUUGUACUGAUACUAGGGUCAACCUUCAAUAUUUCCUAGCGAAUUGUCACGAUUUGUUUUUUUGAUGCUCAGGACAAAAUAAUGACUUCAUAUAUCAAUGCUACUUAUGUGAUUUUGAUUGUCAGGAAGUUUGCUUCAAAAUAGUUAUUACUAUAUAAAUAUUGUCUUUUUGUUUUUCUUAUUUACUAUUUCUUAAUAUUUUCAGUAUUUUAGACGAAGAAAGGUUCAUAUGACUUGUAAUAACGCUAGUUGUAAGUUUGUAUUAGUUUAAUACUUAUUAUUUAUUUAAUAGCUAAUUUUUAUGCUAUAAAUAUUUUUAUUAAUGCAAAUCUCUCUCUCUCUCUCUAAAUAUAUAUAUAUAUAUAUAUUUGGGUAGAUAUUUGUAUUUAAAUUAAUGUAUUAUAUAUGUCACGACUCACAAAUGUAUUAUCAAGUUAACAAAAUCUUCUAACUUCAAUAUAUAUUAUUUUAAAAUGUUCCGAGUUCUUUUUUUAAAAAAAAAAACUCACAACAAAUGUGAAAAUAUGUGAACAUAUAUGAAUCAUUUAAAAUUUAUCAUUUACAAAGUACAUUUUUUAUUCAGUAAUAUGGAAUAAACAUUUUCAUUUUUCCCUACACUAAAUUAAAAUCUAAUAACUAUAAAAAAAUAGUAACAUUAAUUAAAAUCCUAUUUAUUUAUGUAAGUAUAUAAUCUAUUAGAAAUUCAGCUAUUGCACAUUAAUUCUUUAGUUAUAACAUUAUAAAUUCUCUUCGUUAUUACCAAUUAUUGCAAACGUUAUUCACACUCUUUUACAUUCUUUAGUUAUAGUAUUGUGAAUUCUCAUAGUUAUUACAUUAAUUAUUUCUAUCUUUCAUCUUUCCUUAUAUUAACUGUUGACCAAUAAUUUUUUAUAUUAUUAUACAACCCCUAUAUAUGUGAUAACACGGUGUUAUUUUUCCUUGGAUGAAUUAUGCUUAGUUGAAUAAAUUGAAAAUCGUUUACAAGUAUAUGAACUAUAUCUUUGUUGGGUGUAAGAUAAACAUGUGAUUAUAUAUAUGAUUUCACAGAUAGAAUAUAUUCUUUAAUUUUAAUUUUUAGUUUUACCGGUAAAAAAAAGGAAACUUUUCUCAGUUAACUAUGGACAGUCAGAUAACUAUCUUUGAUUUAUGUACACAAUCAAUCGAGAAGUCAAAUAUGAGAACCAACAACAAGAACGUCAGCUAUUAUGCUAUAACUUAUAAAAUAAAAAUUAAUAUACAAAAAUAGUUCUAAAAAAUAAAAUUUUGUUGUUUUCUUCACAUGUUCAUAUGACAUCUAAACAGUUUAACAUGGAAUACAUGUGCAAAACACAUCUAGUUUGACAAGAAAAUACACAACAAAUAUCGUUUAUAAGGUAAUAUUAGUGAGAUACGACUAAUUACAUGAUUAAACCUCAUCAAAUUAAAAUAAAUAUAUACAUUAUUGCAUUUAACAAGUUAGUCAGAAAUAGCUCUAAGGUCACGACUCGGUAUCAUAUUAGAUCAUUGACAUCCCACAUUACCUUUUCAUUACUACUAAAUACCAACUGCCUAUAUAGAAAAUUAGUUCACAGCCCUGCUUUUCGCCAACUUCAGAAUUUUGGAAAUAGAAAGGAGAGUUGACCUUACCUUAAUCAACGGAGUAUAUAAUAUUGAUCUUGGAGAAGUGUCUACGAAAUUUACCUUUUCGUAUGGUAGGAAAGAUGGUUUUUCUAUAUAUAUGUUCAUUUUUUCUUACACAACUCCAUAGCAGCCGUUUCUCUCUCUAAUUAGAUCAUUGAAAUAUCUCAUGAUUUACGGAAGAAAGUCCUCAUUUGCUGCUACCAAUUUCACCACUUUGUCAAACAUCAGUUAAUUGGCAAAGAAAAGUCAAAUAAGACAAAGUUAAACAUUAUUCUUGUCAUUGAUUUCACUCAUGAUAUUAUUAGUAUAGAAAGCAGAAUGAGGUAUACCAGUCGUAUAAAAAAAUAGUCUGGUAAGAAAAAUAGAGCGUUAGCGAUCAUCUGUUAUCGGAACUAGCAAUAUGGAUCCUAACUCAUUAGCUCUUAAGCUAGCCAACUUGUAUAGGUGUUUCAGUACUAAUUCCCAUUUGACAGAGAAUUUAAACUUGUUUGUUGAAUUAAUCCAACAUAUUGACGCUGAAGCAAUAGUCCAUUACAUUGAUAUAUUACACCCUAUGUUCCUAAACACGUUGAAUGAUUCCCUGGUUAAUCUAGACGUGAAGAUCACUGCCCUGACGGCGAUGAGUAACUUCAUUCAACGGGUGGGGAGUUCAAAAGAUAGGGAGAGGUUUCAGGAUCUGUUGCCUGCGAUGAUGGACUUGCUGAAUGAGGCAUUGGAUAAAAAAUGUGAGGCAUCAGCGCAGUCUGAGUUCGAGAUUUUGAUCGAGUUGGCCAAGAAUGAGCCUAGCUUCUUCAGGAUGCAGCUUGUGGUUGUGGUGGGCUCCAUGUUUGAUAUAGCUGAAUGUGAGAGUUAUGAAAAGAAAACGAGACAUUUGGCGGUUGAAUUCGUGAUGACUUUGGUUGAGGCCAGGGAGAAGACCCCUGGCAUGAUCAAGAAGUAUCCAUUGUUUACUGAAAAAUAUUUUGCAAUUUUAUUGAAUUUGUUAGAGGAUGAGGUUUAUGACCCUCUCUUGCCUGAUCCUUAUGAUAUAUGGGAUAGAAAUGAUGAUUUCGUUUUUCUUAAGAUGUGUUUACGGCGGUUGUCCAAUGCGCUGGGUGGUAAGACUGUUGGUCCUGUUGCCUUUGAGCAGCUCCGUGCUCACUUGGCUGACGACUCGUGGCAGAAGCCAUGCGCAGCACUCUAUGCACUUGCUCAGAUUGUUGAAGGCUGCUCAGAGGUGUGUAUUUAUUGAUACACUACUAAGAAUUGCAUUUAAACUGAUUAGUUAACGAUCUUGGGAUAGCAGAAGGUCACCUUGAUUAUACUUUCUUCUGUUAUUCUCUAGACUAAGUACUUUGCUUGCUCUCAUCUCUUCUUCAUUAUAAUAGGUGAUGAUUAAGAAUAUGAAUCUAGUGGUGACAAUGGUUCUGGAUUGUAUGGGACAUCCUCAUCCUGGAGUCAGAUUCACCUCCAUGGAAGCAGUUCGCGAGUUUUUGAGUUUCAUGUGUCCCCAUUUUCAAGAACACUAUCAUCAGCAAGUAGUGCCGGCAUUAAUUAAAGCUAUGGAUGAUGACAGUGUACAAGUGCAGGUCUGUUUGUCCUACGAUGAUAUGAAUUCCUUUGGAUGCUAGUAUCAUUUGUCCCAAAUUACAGUUGCAAAAUUUUCUUACUGAACCUUCUCAAUGGCCUUAACUUUAACUUUAUUAGAUAUAAUCCCUGCUCUAACUUUACUAUCUUCAUAUUUUCCUUCACGUUGGCAUGACUGAAUAUUUGACACUUUACAUCCAUGGAUUACACAAUAAAUUGCUUCAACUGUCGUCACAUACUGUUGAGAAGGUACGUAUUGUAGACUAAGUGCAAGAGAAAUCAGAUCAUUUUCUUGAACAAUGAACAGACAAUAUUACGAAUACAUUAAGGGAAACAACCAUAAUUUCCAAGUUCCCAAUAUAAUUAUCCCGCCGUCCUUUAUAAAUUCAAAGUUUGUUACUCCCUUGAAUGUCCUUGAGGUCUUUACUUGCCUGAUAUAUUUUUGUUUUUGACAUGAAAGGUCCAAUUAUCAGCGUCAGCUGCACUCGAACUUUUGGCUAAGCAUUUUAAGGUAUUACCUAGUAAUUCUGCUUCAACUUUUAUUAAGAGUAUGUUGUAUUUAAGCCUGGUUUUUAUAUAUAUAUUAAUAUUAACAUUACUUCAACAGGAGUUCUAUGGGAACAACUACGAAUCUAAUAAACCACUUUGGAAAGCUUCCCUGGUAGAAGCAAAUUUUCCAAGUAAAGAUGUAGAGAUGAUCAUGUCAGUGCACGAACCUGGCAGUUCGGUACUUCCGAAACAGGUCUUCCACCAGUUAUACCAAAUGGAUUCUAUACAUCUCACUCAACUUAGAGCUUAUUGUUUAUUCGUUUUCUAUUUUUCUGUUGUUGACAUAAUGUCACUUUAAGAUUAUGGAAGCAAUUAUGUCAUUACAAGGAUCACAAGAGGAUGAUAAGGAUACAAGUACGAUCUACAAGCUAAAGGUAUGUGUUGUUGAGAAUAUCGUUAACUAAUAAAAUGGUGUUCUCUCUAAUAGCUUAAGCUUUUAGAUGAGAUGGUCACACACUUCANNNNNNNNNNNNNNNNNNNNNNNNNNNNNNNNNNNNNNNNNNNNNNNNNNNNNNNNNNNNNNNNNNNNNNNNNNNNNNNNNNNNNNNNNNNNNNNNNNNNNNNNNNNNNNNNNNNNNNNNNNNNNNNNNNNNNNNNNNNNNNNNNNNNNNNNNNNCAGGCAGAGGCCCUGGGAUCAAAUCUCUUCGCCACCCAAAUUAAAAAGAAUUUCCACGUGCUAAUCAGUCAGAAAUUCUUUCAAGAUUGGUCUUUCUAUAUUUCUUGAUCUCAUUCCAGGUUGUCACACUUGGACUUCUCUCUUUUUCUUUCUUUCUACCCGUGCUUUUGAUCGCGAACUGAAAAUUUAACAAGUGGUUUCAAUGGCCUAAUGCUUGAUAAAUGAUACAGACUGCUUCAAUUUUAUUUCCACUUUUGAAAUUCCAUUUCAAAGAGGUCAGGUUCCAUACAGUUGAAGGUGAGAUUUCUCAGGAUUUCACAUAGUUAAUUUCUCCGUCUUUUAUAACUAUCUGAUCACCGCCAAGACUUUUUAAUUUGUAAUGUUUAUAGCGAUGAAGCACCUUUUGCAAUCUGCUAAACUGGCUGAUGAGAAAGGGAUUGCUCCAGGUGAAAGCCAUUCGGAUUUCAAGCAGUUUUCGGACAGUAUAAUACUGAAUUUGGUGGAAGCUUUGCAUGAGGUUUACUUUUAACAUUAAGCUUCUUCUUUUUGGAUAAUGAGAAAGUAACACUUUGAUUUCUAUAUAAUGCAGGAGCUUGAAACAGAGAUAUAUGCACAUAUGUUGAAUACAUUACGACUGUGCCUUCAGGUUCGUGAUCUUUAAACACUGCUUAUUUGUUUUGAUCCAAAGUUUUCAGUGUUUCACUAUGAGCUAGGUAUGAAGUUUUUGGAACUGUUGCCUUUAAGUCUAUUGCUUAAAAUGUUCCAUUAGUAUCAUCAAAGUGAGAAACUAGCAAUGGUGACAAAAAUCGAGUUAGAAUGGCAAAAUAGGAUUUUUCAGGUUGUAUAUGGUCCUUGUGUUUCUUCUUUCAGAUAUGUGGACCACUUCUCAAUGAAGAUCAGCUUCGUCCAGUCGUGGAUGAGAUAAAGCAUGUCAUUACAGAAAAUUUAAAUAGCCAAGGAAAACUCACAGAGAGAGAAAAAACAGAAGACUUCGAUGCUGAGGAAGCUGAAUUGCUGAGAGGGGAAAAACAUCAACAAGAUCAAAUAUUUAAACUUGUAUGUUCUAUAUUAAAACAGGAACUAAAGUGAUACACUGUUGUCUUUAUAUAUUCAAGCAUUUUCGCUUUGGUUCUGCUGUUAUUCUUGAACAGGCUGGUGGCAUAUUAGGUAGACUAAUCGAAUCAUUCAAGGUUGUUUUCUUGCCUUACUUUGACGAGCUAUCAUUAUAUCUGAUUCCGAUGUGGGUAAGUUCAUUGACACUAUUGUAACAUGACGUUAGUUUAUCAUUAUUCAUAUCUAGCAUAUCUUAUUGUUUCCGAUUUUUGUUAAGGACAAAGAAAUGACAAGUCUAGAGAGAUGUACAUCACUUUAUAUCUUUGGUGGUCUUGUGAAGCAUUGCUCUGAAGCAGCUCUAAAGUGAGUUUAAUUUAUCUGUAUGAGUUUUUCUUAAAUUAUUGGGGUGUCACCAUUUUGAUAAAUCACUUACUUCCUAUGCCAACUAGGUACUGUAAUGAAUUUCUACCUUUGCUUCUGAAAUCAAGCAAUGACGAAAACCCAGCAGUUAGACAGGUUUGGAUCAUCGUGAUUGCUUACAUUCCUGUUACUCAAGUUGGUUGCUCACAGUAUGGUUUAACCAAAACACCAAUGACUUCAUGUUCAGAAUGCUCUACAUGGACUUGGGUUUUAUGCAGAAUAUCAUGGUUCUGUUUUCAAACCUUUUGUUAGAGGUAUUAAUAUUGUUGAAUGUGAUACUUCUAAUCAAGCAAGUGUUUUUGUUAACUUACGCGUUUAUGUUCAGAGGCUAUGUCACGGAUCAAUGUAGUGAUAAUGCAUUUACGUGCUCGUGAACCUGAGAAUGAACUUGCAUAUGAUAGUGCUGUUUUUACCCUUGGUAAAAUAUUUCAGUUUCAUCGAGAACUUAUCGACUCAGCCCAGGUUUGUCCUUCUCAGAAUCCCUAAUGUUAAGUCUUGUUAUAAUUUCUGAUUCUGAAUCCUUGUGUAGGUCAUUCCCAUUUGGUUGAAUUGCCUGCC